rnacentral:rRNA from 1 species
AAACUCUUGUAUUAUCAGCAUCUUCUGAAUACGCCGCAAGGCAAAACAAAUGAAUCAAAACUUUCAACAACGGAUCUCUUGGCUCUGGCAUCGAUGAAGAACGCAGCGAAAUGCGAUACGUAAUGUGAAUUGCAGAAUCCAGUGAAUCAUCGAAUCUUUGAACGCACAUUGCGCCCGCCAGCAUUCUGGCGGGCAUGCCUGUUCGAGCGUCAUUUCAACCCUCGACCUCCCUUUGGGGAAGUCGGCGUUGGGGACCGGCAGCACACCGCCGGCCCUGAAAUGGAGUGGCGGCCCGUCCGCGGCGACCUCUGCGUAGUAAUCCACCUCGCACCGGAACCCCGACGUGGCCACGCCGUAAAACACCCAACUUCUGAACGUUGACCUCGAAUCAGGUAGGACUACCCGCUGAACUUAAGCAUAU